rnacentral:rRNA from 1 species
CCGCCUGCCCCGUGAUAUAUUUAACGGCCGCGGUAUCUUGACCGUGCAAAGGUAGCAUAAUCAAUUGUUCUUUAAAUAAGAACUAGUAUGAACGGCACCACGAGGGUUUAACUGUCUCCCCCCUUUAAUCAAUAAAACUGACCUUCCCGUGAAAAGGCGGAAAUAUAAAUAUAAGACGAUAAGACCCCAUGGAGCUUUAAACUUAUCACCACUUACUAAAAGUAAAACACAACACAAAGUAAUCAUGUUAAUGAUAGUUUUCGGUUGGGGCGACCAUGGAGAAAAACAAAUCCUCCAAGCUGAAUAAACUAAUAAUAUUAGAACUACAAUUCAAACAAUCAAAACUUUGACAAAAUGACCCAGGAUAAUAUCCUGAUCAACGAACCAAGUUACCCUGGGGAUAACAGCGCUAUCCAUUUCAAGAGCCCAUAUCGACAAAUGGGUUUACGACCUCGAUGUUGGAUUGGGAUAUCCCAGCAGCGCAGCCGCUGCUAAUGGUUCGUUUGUUCAACGAUUAAUAAUCCCACGUGAUCU